GAUGAACGCUGGCGGCGUGCCUAAUACAUGCAAGUCGAGCGAACAGAUGAGGAGCUUGCUCCUCUGACGUUAGCGGCGGACGGGUGAGUAACACGUGGAUAACCUACCUAUAAGACUGGGAUAACUUCGGGAAACCGGAGCUAAUACCGGAUAAUAUAUUGAACCGCAUGGUUCAAUAGUGAAAGACGGUUUUGCUGUCACUUAUAGAUGGAUCCGCGCCGCAUUAGCUAGUUGGUAAGGUAACGGCUUACCAAGGCAACGAUGCGUAGCCGACCUGAGAGGGUGAUCGGCCACACUGGAACUGAGACACGGUCCAGACUCCUACGGGAGGCAGCAAUAGGGAAUCUUCCGCAAUGGGCGAAAGCCUGACGGAGCAACGCCGCGUGAGUGAUGAAGGUCUUCGGAUCGUAAAACUCUGUUAUUAGGGAAGAACAAAUGUGUAAGUAACUAUGCACGUCUUGACGGUACCUAAUCAGAAAGCCACGGCUAACUACGUG
rnacentral:rRNA from 1 species